GGCUCAGGACGAACGCUGGCGGCGCGCCUAAUACAUGCAAGUCGAGCGAGAAGGUGUAGCAAUACACUUGUAAAGCGGCGAACGGGUGAGGAAUGCAUGGGUAACCUACCCUCGAGUGGGGAAUAACUAGCCGAAAGGUUAGCUAAUACCGCAUACGUUUCUGGGACUUCGGUUCCGGAAAGAAAGCAGUACCAUGGGUACUGCGCUCAUGGAUGGGCUCAUGUCCUAUCAGCUUGUUGGCGAGGUAACGGCUCACCAAGGCUUCGACGGGUAGCUGGUCUGAGAGGACGAUCAGCCACACUGGCACUGCGACACGGGCCAGACUCCUACGGGAGGCAGCAGUAAGGAAUAUUGCGCAAUGGACGAAAGUCUGACGCAGCGACGCCGCGUGGGGGAUGAAGGUCUUCGGAUUGUAAACCCCUUUCGGGAGGGAAGAUGGAGUGGGUAACCACUUGGACGGUACCUCCAGAAGCAGCCACGGCUAACUUCGUGCCAGCAGCCGCGGUAAUACGAAGGUGGCAAGCGUUGUCCGGAUUUACUGGGCGUAAAGGGAGCGUAGGUGGUCGGGUAAGCCCCUGGGGAAAGCUCCAGGCUUAACCUGGAAAGGUCGCGGGGGACUGCGCGGCUAGAGGACGGGAGAGGAGCGCGGAAUUCCCGGUGUAGCGGUGAAAUGCGUAGAGA
rnacentral:rRNA from 1 species